rnacentral:rRNA from 1 species
AUUUUGGACAAUGGGCGCAAGCCUGAUCCAGCAAUGCCGCGUGCAGGAUGAAGGCCCUCGGGUUGUAAACUGCUUUUGUACGGAACGAAAAGUCUUGGGUUAAUACUCUGGUAUCAUGACGGUACCGUACGAUUAAUCACUGGCUAACUACGUGCCUGCAGCCGCGGUAAUACGUAGUGUGCAAGCGUUAAUCGGAAUUACUGGGCGUAAAGCGUGCGCAGGCGGUUUUGUAAGACAGUGGUGAAAUCCCCGGGUUCAACCUGGGAACUGCCAUUGUGACUGCAAGGCUGGAGUGCGGCAGAGGGGGAUGGGAUUCCGCGUGUAGCAGUGAAAUGCGUAGAUAUGCGGAGGAACACCGAUGGCGAAGGCAAUCCCCUGGGCCUGCACUGACGCUCAUGCACGAAAGCGUGGGGAGCAAACAGG